AGUUGUCAUAUUAUAAAUGAUAAUUCUAAUAGCAGAUGAGCAUCAGGCCUUUGAGCCAUCUAAUGAUCAUCCAACUAUUGGACCCAUUAUCACUUAACUUAAUAAGAGACUACAAUCUAGUUAUCUCCAUAACUAAUUUAUUUUUAGAAACCCAAUAAUUUUAGAAGAUUUAAUUAAUUGAGUUGAUAGAUAAGAAAAGACUCGAUCAGUUAU
rnacentral:lncRNA from 1 species